rnacentral:rRNA from 1 species
ACUGCUCAGUAACACGUGGCUAAUCUGCCCUUAGGACGAGAACAACCCCGGGAAACUGGGGCUAACUCUUGAUAGGUGAAGAACUCUGGAAUGAGUCUUUGCCUAAAAAGAUUCACGUUAUCCUCGUGAACCUGCCUAAGGAUGAGGCCGCGACCGAUCAGGUUGUUGGCGAGGUAAUGGCUCACCAAGCCUUUUACCGGUGCGGGCCGUGGGAGCGGGAGCCCGGAGAUGGGUACUGAGACAAGGACCCAGGCCCUACGGGGCGCAGCAGUCGCGAAACCUUUGCAAUACACGAAAGUGUGACAGGGCUAUCCCGAGUGCCAUCCGCUGAGGAAGGCUUUUACCCAGUCUAGAACGCUGGGGGAAUAAGGAGAGGGCAAGUCUGGUGUCAGCCGCCGCGGUAAUACCAGCUCUCCGAGUGGUGUGGAUGUUUAUUGGGCCUAAAGCAUCCGUAGCUGGCUAGGUAAGUCCCUUGUUAAAUCCACCGAAUUAAUCGUUGGAUCGCGGGGGAUACUGCUUGGCUAGGGGACGAGAGAGGCAGACGGUAUUUUCGGGGUAGGGGUGAAAUCCUAUAAUCCCGGGAAGACCACCAGUGGCGAAGGCUGUCUGCUAGAACGCGCCCGACGGUGAGGGAUGAAAGCUGGGGGAGCGAACCGGAUUAGAUACCCGGGUAGUCCCAGCUGUAAACGAUGCAGACUAGGUGUUUGGACGGCCACGUGCCGUUCUAGUGCCGCAGGGAAGCUGAUAAGUCUGCCGCCUGGGGAGUACGAUCGCAAGAUUGAAACUUAAAGGAAUUGGCGGGGGAGCAC